rnacentral:lncRNA from 1 species
GAGAUCCGCCUCCCGCGGAACCGCACGCGGCUCUGGCUCGGCACCUUCGACACAGCCGAGGAGGCGGCGCUUGCCUACGACCAGGCGGCGUACCGCCUCCGCGGCGACGCGGCGCGGCUCAACUUCCCCGACAACGCCGCCUCCCGCGGCCCGCUCCACGCCUCCGUCGACGCCAAGCUCCAGACGCUCUGCCAGAACAUCGCCGCCGCCAAGAACGCCAAGAAGUCCUCUGUCUCCGCCUCCGCCGCCGCAACAUCCUCCGCGCCCACCAGCAACUGCUCGUCGCCGUCCUCCGACGACGCGUCGUCCUGCCUGGAGUCCGCCGACUCGUCGCCCU